rnacentral:rRNA from 1 species
GAUGAACGCUGGCGGCGUGCUUAACACAUGCAAGUCGAACGGAAAGGCCCAAGCUUGCUUGGGUACUCGAGUGGCGAACGGGUGAGUAACACGUGGGUGAUCUGCCCUGCACUUCGGGAUAAGCCUGGGAAACUGGGUCUAAUACCGGAUAGGACAACAUUUUGGAUGGUGUGGUGGAAAGUUUUUCGGUGUGGGAUGAGCUCGCGGCCUAUCAGCUUGUUGGUGGGGUAAUGGCCUACCAAGGCGUCGACGGGUAGCCGGCCUGAGAGCGUGUACGGCCACAUUGGGACUGAGAUACGGCCCAGACUCCUACGGGAGGCAGCAGUGGGGAAUAUUGCACAAUGGGCGCAAGCCUGAUGCAGCGACGCCGCGUGGGGGAUGACGGCCUUCGGGUUGUAAACUCCUUUCGCUAGGGACGAAGCGCAAGUGACGUUACCUGGAGAAGAAGCACCGGCUAACUACGUG